UGAUUGAAUUGAACCGGGUGUUGUUGAGAAUGCAUGCCCUAAGAGUAAUUUAUUGUGUGUGCUUUAUUCAACAAUUCUGGGUAAUCAUCAUCCAACACUUACAAAGAUGAACAUCGUAUUUGUUUUAUGAUAAAUUAACACAAUUUAUGUUUUUAGUGAUCACAGGUUAGCCCGAUCACUUGUUUUUUCUCCAACUCUAAUUGAUGACGGGAUUUUUGGAAUUAUAGAAUUUAAAUUUUGACCACUCUCUUAGACUUGAUAUAAAUUCAACCCAGUUCAAGCACAACAGCCUUGGAUCGGCAUAGGCUCUUAGCCAAGCCCCCCUUUAACACUCAAGUAUUAAUUUAAUACCCAGCUGGACAUUUGGCUGUUGGCUCCUUAGCCCCCCUCUCUUUCUUGCAAUUCCUCGAAGAAAUCUCAAGAUCAGCAAAUAUUUCAAUGGCUUCCUCUAAAGAAACCGAUAAUAAUCCAGACACUCCAUCCUCGCCAAAGAAGAUAUAUAAAGACCCAGAUGAUGGGAGGCAACGGUUUUUGUUGGAAUUGGAGUUUGUUCAAUGUCUUGCUAACCCUACUUACAUCCAUUAUUUGGCUCAGAAUCGUUAUUUUGAAGAUGAAGCAUUUAUUGGCUAUUUAAAGUACCUACAGUACUGGCAACGUCCAGAGCACGUGAAAUUUAUAAUGUAUCCUCAUUGCUUAUAUUUUCUUGAACUUCUCCAAAAUGCAAACUUCCGCAAUGCAAUGGCACAUCCUGGCAACAAGGAGUUGGCACAUAGACAGCAAUUCUUUUUCUGGAAGAACUACAGAAACAACCGGUUGAAGCAUAUCUUACCCAGACCUCUCCCUGAACCUGUCACUGCACCCCCUGCUCUAGCUCCUCCACCUCAAACUCCUGUUCAACCUGUACCACCUGUGUCUGCUGCAACUCUUGGCAUGCCGGCUGCUCCUGGUGCAGUCCCCUUGCCCAUGCCUCCUGGUUCUGCUUUUGGAAAAAGUGAUAUCAGGAACAGUGGAAGUGAUAGAAGAAAGAGGAAGAAAGAAGUUUAACUUGAACCACUCUACUAUCUAUGUUAAAAGUAGCGGGACCAGUAUGUCUGGUAAGGUAGCUAUACAAACUCGUCGACUGGGUCUACAGUGCUGAAAAGGUGUCAAAGAUAGAUUUGAUGGCCUUUUUCUUUUCCAUUUUGCAUCUUCUUGUUCAUUGACCAGGUGGUGAAACCUAAUUGAACUACUCAGCUUCAGGAUUCUUAGAUGGUUCAGGAUAAAAAGAAAAAUAGCUUCGUUUCUGUUUCUGGUUCCACCCCACAGUGAGCCUCAGAGUUAGUUCCCCGUAUCGAAAUCUGACAACUAUGUCUGAAGCAUCUCAGUCCCUACUGUCAAUCAUGGAGGAAAAUCAUCGAAAGAAAUUUAGCUUGUAAUAUCAUUCAUCAAGUGAAAAGGGUCGUAGUAGGCGUGUGUUAGAUGAUUUAGCUGGUGACUUGGAAAGAUUUAUAUCUUGUUUGCACAGAUCAAGCUUUGCCAGCACUAAAAAAUGGCAAAAAAAUCCAAGAGGAGGGCUGGCUCCAUCACGCAUGAUUCCAAAUGCAAUGAUUCGUUUUAAGGAAAAGGCAGGAAAGAUCUUAAGAUUAGUUUUGUUACUUCUCUAACUCUGAUGAAUUGAGUAAUGUCGGUAACAAAAAUCUAAGGUGGCUGAUUAUUAUGUAAUUAUCCAUAACGUUGUGUCCAAAUUUAGUAAUAAAUAAUAAAAUAAUAAUUUUUUGA